UUGCUCAUUUAAGACUAAUCAGUGUCUUGAGUGUGGAACACAGGGGGGUAGAGUAGUUCUCUCAAAAAACCUAAAGUAAAGGCUAUACACUCCUUACUUUGGAUCCUGUCGGAAGAAACACUU